CGAAAGAAGUUCGGAGUAAAGUCGUUCGUGGCUGGAAGAAGUUUGGAAGAGAUUCGGAGAAUGGUCGAUCACUGUAGAAAAUCGACAGAUAGUGAAGUUCAGAAAGUAUUUGGAGCAGCCCGGUAGAUGAAUGGAGGAGCUCACCAUUGGAGAAGUCUGGAUGGUAUUAUGGAAGCUCAGACGGUCGAGGGAGUUCAGAAAGGUGCCACA
rnacentral:lncRNA from 1 species